CCAAUGUCUUUCUUGUUCCUGUUGUGCCCGACUGCUGACAAGAGAGAGCACCUUAACAUGAGACAAAUAGUUUAUUCUGAACACAGAAGCAGAGAAAUCUUUAUUCUUAUUGGUUCAUGUCAGUAUGUGUCCUGUAGCUUGGUGUUAUCAGUCUUGACCUGAGAAAAUCACAAAAGUCUUAUGGUAGUUCAAAACUUUCUCAAAGGUGUUCUAGAGGAGUCAUCAUUCCUAUCGUAGCUGAUGAUCUGAACUUUGUAUUAAAUCACAGUGUGUCAUCAUAGCUGGACAGACAGCGUUGAAGAAUCAAAGUUUCUACAACAGUAGAAUAUUAUACAAAACAACACGUGUUGUACAAGGUAAAGAAUCCAAAUACUUUAUAUUUUUAAGAUAUUUUCUAAAAGAAUGGACCUUUAGAAGAAUAUAUUGUGCUAAUGUCAUAUUUUGCAUUUCAAUAUGGAGUACUGCAUUAUUUUGAUGGAGUUUAAUUCAUUAGAUGAUAAACUGUAGUAGAAAAAUGUGUUUGCUACCGACUACUUGUAAAUGUCUGUCCCUCUAUCCUUUGUGCAAUGUGAAGAACCAAAGACUUGUUCUUUCUGAAGAUGGUACAGUAUAUUUUACUGUUUUAUCUGAAAAUGUUUAAAAAAAACAAAAGCAUUCCUUUUCUUAACAGCAGAAUCUGACGUAUUUCAGGGAGCCAUACUUGCUCAUUUGGUACAAACAUGUAAGCUGGGGGAUUGCACAGAUGCCAGGAUUGGCCUCUGAAGGAGAAAGCUGAUUACAUGGCUGAAAAGAGAGGAAACUGGGAAAAGGAAGAGACAACACAGCAGCACUUUAUUUAACAUUCAUUUUGAAAAGCUAAUUUGAUUAUUUACAGACUGUGGAACUUGGCAAGUGGUUUUUGCUUCCAGACAUCCAAAACAUUAUGCACAGACCAAUUCACAUGACAUCUCCUACAAAAUACAAGCCACCUCACAGCAAUGUACAGCUCGCCUCUCAUACACUAAAGGAGGCACCGUUAAUAUCUGUAGGUCACACUAUUCUGCAUCCUGUAUUUCUUUAAGCACCCAAAUUCAAACAUAUGACCAAUCUGGGUGUUGUUUAUCUGGUGCUCUCACUAAUCAAGCAAGCAUGUUUUUUUUGAAAAUUCUUAAAUUAAUCACAUAUCCCGCAAGCAUGCUACAAAGCAUCUACUUUGUAUUUGUAUUUAUUUAAGUAUUUACUCUGUACUCAGUUUUUUACCAUUAGACCUAAAAUGAGUUAGAUAUUUCUGUGCCUUUGCUUUUAACAGACGCCUGCCACACACACUCAAUCUGUUGUUGUGUCCCGUCUGAUGACGGUUCAACCCUCUACACAUGAAGUUGAUCAUCAAGCUGCCAGACUGAUAGUGAUUGUAUAUACCAACACCUCUGCGCAUCCUGUCUUUCCUCAACACUUGUACUUAAAUGCGCUCAAGAAAUUUGCAUGAAAAAGGCCCAAAUCCACAGCAACAAAAACAGCUCCCUGCUCCUGUGGAGGGAGAGUGUGAAAUGUGAUUGGAAUAGGAACAACCCGUGUGACAGGUGAGAGCUUAUCACACCUGACAGACGUAAGCAGCACUUUCCUCCUGAACCCAAAGACCUCUUAAACAAAGACAAGAUAGUCACGUCAAACAUUAUAGGCUACGUAAAAACAAAAGUAAGAGCGAAGCAUCUCCUCAGGCAUUAAACAUGCUAUCAUAGCUUGUCCAUGAGAUAUACAGACUGAUUAUGAACACAGAACUUAAAUGUGUGUGUUUUCCAUUAUGGUCCCUUUUUGCAGAAUGACAGUGCAAAAAAUGUCACUUUGGGUUUAGGCAUCUGUUUGAGGAUUUUUUUUCCUUCAUUUCUGUGGUUCUAUAAAUAUCAUCCUGGGCAUGCAAAGGGAGAGACUAGGCCAGCAGGAAAAAGGCUCAGUUACAGCAAAGUCUUUGGGCAGACGUGGUCACGUGGAGUCCUCAGCAACUAACUUUGUAACCAAAAGAAUCAUAAGUCAUUGGUGUGUGGGAUUUGUUGCAGUCGUGAUCUGAACGCUGCGUGGUGAUGGGAUAACAAAUGUCAAACUGACAAACGAUGACAUGACUUUCACCAUUAUGGAAAAAAAAAUGAAAAGCUAAGGAAAUGUAAAAAGGAGGAUUAGUUUCACAGUGAAAAGUGCAGAUUCAUUAACAUUCAUCACACAACAGUCAGACAUGCAGUAAAUACUGACAAAUAUGGAAUUAAGCCUCUCAUCAUGGUGGACUCACUUCCUUUAUACAAGCCAUACUAAAAUGGUCAUUACUCUUUUUCUGAUUGAAGAAUGUUAAUAAUCUUUCUUUUCUUUAAUUAUCAUCAUUAUUAUAUUAUUAUUUAAACUGCACUUUAUUGACCAUGUAAAUAAACUGUCUACAUACAAAGGUACAUUUUGGUUUUAUAUCAAUUUCCAAAAGCACAAGAUUCAAUGUCAUUUUCUUUAAGCACAAUAAGCCACGACAGAGGUUAAAGCCAAUGCAGACACAUUGUAGAAUUUUCUGAAUCUUUCCCCUUUCUUCAGGGAAUCAUCACCUCCACUCAGCUCUUACUGGUCUGCACACUGCCCACACCGUGUCUGGGGAAAUGUCUGUUUUGUAAAGUUUCAUACUUUGUACCAGUUGACUUUGUUGAAUAUGAUCUUUGUGGUUCCUUGUUGUUGAACGCAUGUAGCGCUACUAAACUUUGUGACACAGGACUUGUAAAUACUAUCUACAGUAAGAAGCUUUAGGACAAAGUCUGUGAUCAGAGAUUCUGGAGAUAUUUCCACCUUUUACUGACUGAUGCUUAAUAAAAGUCAAUAAUCCAGA